rnacentral:hammerhead_ribozyme from 1 species
AUCCAGCUGAAGAAUUGCAAACGGGAUGAAACGCACGUCGUGGAU